rnacentral:rRNA from 1 species
UACGGAGGGUGCAAGCGUUAUCCGGAUUCACUGGGUUUAAAGGGUGCGUAGGCGGGCAGGUAAGUCAGUGGUGAAAUCUCCGGGCUUAACCCGGAACUGCCGUUGAUACUAUCUGUCUUGAAUGUCGUGGAGGUGAGCGGAAUAUGUCAUGUAGCGGUGAAAUGCUUAGAUAUGACAUAGAACACCAAUUGCGAAGGCAGCUCACUACACGAUGAUUGACGCUGAGGCACGAAAGCGUGGGGAUCAAACAGGA